rnacentral:rRNA from 1 species
GCCAAUGCUAGCCCUAAGCAUAACCAACACUAAUACCAAACCAACAUACACUAAACCAUUCACCUACACAAAGUAUAGGCGAUAGAAAUUUUAAUCUGGCGCUAUAGACAUAGUACCGUAAGGGAAAGAUAGAAAACCACCCAAGCACAAAACAGCAAAGACUAACUCCUGUACCUUUCGCAUAAUGAAUUAGCUAGAAACAAUUUUACGAAGAGGACUACAAGCCAAAUCCCCCGAAACCAGACGAGCUACCCAAAAACAGCUAAAAGAGCGCACCCGCCUAUGUGGCAAAAUAGUGGGAAGAUUUCUGGGUAGAGGUGACAAGCCUACCGAGCCUGGUGAUAGCUGGUUAUCCAAGACAGAAUCUUAGUUCAACCUUAAGCUUACCUAUAGAACCACCUAAUCCCCCUGUAAGCUUAACUGCUAGUCUAAAGAGGGACAGCUCUUUAGACACUAGGAAAAAACCUUACGGAGAGAGUAAAACCCUCAAUCACCAUAGUUGGCUUAAAAGCAGCCAUCAAUUAAGAAAGCGUUCAAGCUCAACACUAACCACCACAAAAAUACCAAACACAUAACUGAACUCCUCACACCACAUUGGAUUAAUCUAUCACCAUAUAGAAGCAACAAUGCUAGUAUAAGUAACAUGAAUAUUUUCUCCACUGCAUAAGCCUAAAUCGGACCGAAAGCCUCACCGAUAUUUAACAGCCAGGCAUAACAAGCACAAACAAGCCCAUGCCACCUUCACUGUUAACCCAACACAGGCAUGCCCCAAGGAAAGGUUAAAAAAAGUAAAAGGAACUCGGCAAACCCAAACCCCGCCUGUUUACCAAAAACAUCACCUCUAGCAUUACUAGUAUUAGAGGCACUGCCUGCCCAGUGACACACGUUUAACGGCCGCGGUACCCUGAC